ACCUAAUAAUAAUAAUAAUAACAAUAAUCUUUAUUGUACGUAUGGAAAUUUGUCUUACAAUUUGUGCAUUACACCAAACAAAAAACAUUAUAACUAUAAGAAACCAAAGUGUACAUUCACACCAAACUCACUCAUAAUUUACAUGUGACAAAGUUUAUACCAGAUUGUUCUUAUUUAAUGAUUUGAUUGCCAGGGGAACAAAAGAGUGUUUGUGUCUGUCUGUCUUUGCUAUCGGUGUCUUGUAUCUCUUUUGUGAUGGUAAAAUCACUAAAUCCUGACACAAAGGGUGAUUCUUUAUUUCGAGGAUCUUGUUAGCUUAACAUUGUAUAGUAAAUAGAAAUAUGUAAUAAAUUAAUAAAGGCCUACUAUUCUUGAAUGUUAUCAUUUAGUAGUUUUAAGAUACUAUAUUGACUCAAUAUUUUUAGAUUAAUUAUUAUUUUCUUGAAUUUUAAUAUUUGUAAUGAUGAAAGAAAUACCUUAGAUUUAUUGAAGAUGCCCUUAAAUGUAAUCGGUUGAAAUAACUUCUCUUUUUUUUCUCUGCCUUUCAUUCUUUCUCUCUAUUUCCUUCAAGCUCUCUUUUUUUUUUAUUUACAAAGCUUUUAUCAACUCACUCUGUCUGUCUGGUAAAAGUUUUUUACACAUUAUUUCUCCUAUACGCAAUCUCGGAUUAAGCUGAAAUUUCGCACACUUAUUUAUUUUACAUGACAACACAAGAAUCAAUAAUAAUAAUAAAAAAAAUGUUGGUAUCUCAAACAAUGGAAAGAAAUAGUACUUGACGUAAGUGGUGGUAUCAGCCGAAUUAGUUCUUUUUAUAUUAGGCUGUCGUUUUAGGAUUAGUGAACAACAAACAUGAACUAGAAAUCAUAGAUAACUAUACAAUCUUUCAAGUUCAUAGACUCUUCGCUAGCAGAGUGGUUACCGCGUUGGGGUAAGAAUCCUGAGAAGGCUUUACCCCGCCCCACAAGUUCGAAUUCAGGCCGUUCCCUUUUUUAUUAUUUAAAAUACAUUUAAAAAGCGACCACCAGAUAACCCGUUUUUUCUCCCCCUUUCCAACUGGUCCAUACAAGUGAAAGGAUGAUAGACCUGACCUCUAAAAGCAUUAAUAUAAACUUUUGUGGUUUUUUUUUAAGUUAAAAAAAAAUAUUUUGCUUUGUUUUUUUGGUGUUUUUUUUUUUAAUUAAGUCAAGGAAAAUGCGUCUAAAAAGGAGCAAUUGAGGUAAGAAAGAUAACAUCCACCCCCCCCCCCCCUUUUCACUAGCAAAGCAUCGUCUCUUCCUUUGCCUCUUUAUUUCAUGUUUGUUCGUAUUGUCUCAUAAAACGCAUUUCCUCUUGGGCUGAACAAUUCGGUCAGUGAGAGGUAUUCAGUCAGUAUCCUGGUUCACCGAGUGCAAAGUGGAGGAAUUCCCGGAGGCUGGAGAAGGGAGGGAAUGAAUCGCUAGAUUUGUGGCUAAUGGGUCGUUAGAUGAGCGGAUAAAGGGACGCUACCUUUGCAGCUGGGGCACUGAGAGCUCGCUUACAGGAGGAGUGGUUGUGUAAGGAUUGCUCGAUAUCCCCAGUAUCGAAACUGCUUAUUGGGAAGCGCGUUCCUCUACUACCUCACAGGGGACGGGCUAGAUAGAGCCUAGCUCGUGGACGCCGACCAGUCCGCCCGACGCAGCCCGCUAAGGCCGCGCCAGUCAGUCCAGUCUUUGCCCAAUGGGAGACCCGCGAAUCAGCCGAGUCCCAGGAGAACCCGACCAACCCUCGAGUUGGUGUCCAGCGCUAUCCGCUUUUCGGAGAACCCGUGGGUCUCUUACUCACCGUUGCCCCGGGGCCCUACAGGAAAGGGGGGGGGGCUGGACAUAACCCCUUUGAGUUCCUUUUACACUUGCCGGCUGCUCAUUCAUCAGCGGCAAGCGACCAGUACCCUUGGCCGCUCCCAUAGAGCGGAGUGUUCACCCGGCGACCACGAUGAGGUGGUACUGGAACGCCGAGGCAGCUGGGGCGACUAGAUUGGAGAGAUGCUGAAUGGGGGGGGGGGAAGAGGGAAGGUGGAGAAAAAAGUCAAGUGAACAAAUAGCAAUCGUUAUAGAAGGCCUCGACCAGUCUGUACGACGUGGCAAAGAGCUAUUGCUCUAAACUGCCCACAGGUUGUGACGUUGCAGGUCAGAGUCGAUGGUCUCGGAAUGACGCGCCAGACGGAGCUUUUAAGCUACUCAUAGAAAUGGGGUCAAGAAAGGAGGGAGGUAAAUUACAGGAGCUGUGAGGGUGCUAUGAUAUGAGGAGGUAUAUUUUUAGAGGAGGGAGGCAUUUGUGUCCAUUGGCUAGAUUGUUUUCGAUUUUCAUUUGACGCCCACCACUUUACGUAAUGGAAUGUAUUUUUUAAAAAACGCAUUAUAAUACAUACAAUACAAUAUAAUAUACAAAGUACCACAAUACAGCACUGAAACACGAGACUUCCGUGUGUAGUCACUCAAUGAACUCUAUGUUUGUGUCUGUUCUAUUGAUGUGAAUAUAUUCUUUAUUGUUUUCAUGUUUUUUUCAUGAUUGGGUAUAGCUGCAAGGCAACAGAGGUUUGAGUUCAGAGUUUUCCUUCUCCUAGGUGGGUAGCCAGCCAUGGCUAACGAGACCCUCCUGCCCGAAGCUUACUAUAUACAUAUAUUUGGCUGCCUGGUCGUGCGGUUUGCACGCUGGACUGUCGUUCAGAUUUAUCGAUGGUCUCGGGUUCAAACCCUGCCCGCUCCCAUCCCCCGUCGUCCUGCGGGAGGUUUGGACUAGGAAGUAAUUAUCUUCAACUCUGAAGGAACAUCCGAAACAUGUAAAACAUUUUACAAACAUUUACAUCAAAUAUAAAAUAUUGUGUAAACGGGUUUAACGGUAUUGAUUUCUAUGCGGGACAUCCAUUCAUCCAUACAUACAUACAUACGCCUUACUUUCUGCUUUAUAUAUUAGAUAAAUAAAUUAUUUUUUUUUCAAACUGCUUUUGAAAAACCAGCACGGAAACCGUCUUGCAGAUAAUCCCCCCCCCCUUCCCCCAUCAACUGGUCCCACUAGCGGAUCUAAAACUUUGGAGUGGAGGGACGAAUUUUUUCCCCAAACCCUAACGCCCUAGUAAGCCCUAAACCUAAAGCAGUGCUUCUCAACCUUCGGCGAAAAAAAAAACAAACAACAAAAAAUAGCCAUAUUGAGGCCUUUCUGUUGACAGCUAGGGGGUCUGGGGGGAGCGCUGUAAGCUUCCUCAGUGGGCAACGCCAAAAGCGUUUUCGUGCAUUCUUCACUGAGGAAAACGCAUUCGCAUUCUCCUGACGUCAACAGCUCGUUAGUCAUCCAAUUAAAAAAAAAGUACCAUUUAAUAAUAAUAAUAAUAAUAAUAAUAAUAAUAAUCGAUUCAGUUCCGCAUGAUUGGCUGUUGAAAACCCUGACAAUUCAUAGAAUCAAUCCAAGGAUAAUACAACUAUUGAAAGUCUGUAUGGAUAAUUGGAACAUUAACUAGGUUCUGUGCACAUAAGAAGGGGUAUAUUCCAGGGUGACUACGAUGAAUUUUGUUUCCCUUUAACGAAACUCGACCCUGGCUUCGCCAGAGAAUAAAUACUCGUUCUUUUAUAACAUAAUAAUAAUAAUCUUUAUAAUAAUAAUAAUAAUCUUUAUUGUCCGUAAGGAAAUUUGUCUUAAAAUUUAUGCAUUACACCAAACAAAACAUUGUAAUUAUAAAAAAACAAAAUGUACAUUCACACCAGUCUCAUAAUUUACAUGUGAAAAUUUUAUAUCAGAUUGUUUCUAUUUAAUGAUUUGAUUGCCAGGGGAACAAAAGAGUGUUUGUGUCUGUUUGUCUUUGCUAACGAUGUCUUGUAUCUCUAUUGUGAUGGUAUAAUCACAAAAUCCUGACCCAAAGGGUGAUUUUUUAUUUCUAGAAUCUUUUUAGCUUUUUUGUGGACGUUUACUGGCCCUUACUACAUUUCAAAUACAAUCGAUUGUUAAGAGUUUUCUUGCAUUCUUCACUGCAGAAAACUCCAAAGUUCUGGAUCGCCGCCGAAAGAAAAAAUUCUUCGAAAAAUAAUAUUUUUAAAAAGCUAAUUUGUAAGUGAUACAUUUUGUUCACUAGGCAUGUUUGUAACUUUGUUUUGUUACAGAACUCUAAUUCAAAGCUCUAACCAAAAAAUUUCGGAAUAGGGAGGAGAAAUUAAGUGGGGUAAUUAGAUUCAACUCUAAUUUCUUCUUUGCAUUUUUAGGAUUCAAGUAUAUAUUGAAAGUUAUAGUCCCAAAUUUAUUUAUAAAAAAAAGAAAAAAAUAGUAUGAUUAAAGGUUGGAAAAAGGUGACUAGAAAAAUAACAUUUGGGUUCAGAACUCAUCUCAUGUGUAAUUACAUAACUCUGUCGCAGUAUUCGACUCUUCUGUUUUAGAACUCAUCUCAUGUGUAAUUACAUAACUCUGUCGCAGUAUUUGACUCUUCUGUUUUAGAACUCAUCUCAUGUGUAAUUACAUAACUCUGUCGCAGUAUUUGACUCUUCUGUUUUAGAACUCAUCUCAUGUGUAAUUACAUAACUCUGUCGCAGUAUUUGACUCUUCUGUUUUAGAACUCAUCUCAUGUGUAAUUACAUAACUCUGUCGCAGUAUUUGACUCUUCUGUUUUAGAACUCAUCUCAUGUGUAAUUACAUAACUCUGUCGCAGUAUUUGACUCUUCUGUUUUAGAACUCAUCUCAUGUGUAAUUACAUAACUCUGUCGCAGUAUUUGACUCUUCUGUUUUAGAACUCAUCUCAUGUGUAAUUACAUAACUCUGUCGCAGUAUUUGACUCUUCUGUUUUAGAACUCAUCUCAUGUGUAAUUACAUAACUCUGUCGCAGUAUUUGAACUUUUCUGUUUCAGAACUCAUCUCAUGUGUAAUUACAUAACUCUGUCGCAGUAUUUGAACUUUUCUGUUUUAGAACUCAUCUCAUGUGUAAUUACAUAACUCUGUCGCAGUAUUUGAACUUUUCUGUUUCAGAACUCAUCUCAUGUGUAAUUACAUAACUCUGUCGCAGUAUUUGACUCUUCUGUUUUAGAACUCAUCUCAUGUGUAAUUACAUAACUCUGUCGCAGUAUUUGAACUUUUCUGUUUUAGAACUCAUCUCAUGUGUAAUUACAUAACUCUGCCGCAGUAUUUGAACUUUUCUGUUUCAGAACUCAUCUCAUGUGUAAUUACAUAACUCUGUCGCAGUAUUUGAACUUUUCUGUUUUAGAACUCAUCUCAUGUGUAAUUACAUAACUCUGUCGCAGUAUUUGACUCUUCUGUUUUAGAACUCAUCUCAUGUGUAAUUACAUAACUCUGUCGCAGUAUUUGAACUUUUCUGUUUUAGAACUCAUCUCAUGUGUAAUUACAUAACUCUGCCGCAGUAUUUGAACUUUUCUGUUUCAGAACUCAUCUCAUGUGUAAUUACAUAACUCUGUCGCAGUAUUUGAACUUUUCUGUUUCAGAACUCAUCUCAUGUGUAAUUACAUAACUCUGCCGCAGUAUUUGAACUUUUCUGUUUCAGAACUCAUCUCAUGUGUAAUUACAUAACUCUGUCGCAGUAUUUGAACUUUUCUGUUUUAGAACUCAUCUCAUGUGUAAUUACAUAACUCUGUCGCAGUAUUUGAACUUUUCUGUUUCAGAACUCAUCUCAUGUGUAAUUACAUAACUCUGUCGCAGUAUUUGACUCUUCUGUUUUAGAACUCAUCUCAUGUGUAAUUACAUAACUCUGUCGCAGUAUUUGAACUUUUCUGUUUUAGAACUCAUCUCAUGUGUAAUUACAUAACUCUGCCGCAGUAUUUGAACUUUUCUGUUUCAGAACUCAUCUCAUGUGUAAUUACAUAACUCUGUCGCAGUAUUUGAACUUUUCUGUUUUAGAACUCAUCUCAUGUGUAAUUACAUAACUCUGUCGCAGUAUUUGACUCUUCUGUUUUAGAACUCAUCUCAUGUGUAAUUACAUAACUCUGUCGCAGUAUUUGAACUUUUCUGUUUUAGAACUCAUCUCAUGUGUAAUUACAUAACUCUGCCGCAGUAUUUGAACUUUUCUGUUUCAGAACUCAUCUCAUGUGUAAUUACAUAACUCUGUCGCAGUAUUUGAACUUUUCUGUUUCAGAACUCAUCUCAUGUGUAAUUACAUAACUCUGCCGCAGUAUUUGAACUUUUCUGUUUCAGAACUCAUCUCAUGUGUAAUUACAUAACUCUGUCGCAGUAUUUGAACUUUUCUGUUUUAGAACUCAUCUCAUGUGUAAUUACAUAACUCUGCCGCAGUAUUUGAACUUUUCUGUUUCAGAACUCAUCUCAUGUGUAAUUACAUAACUCUGUCGCAGUAUUUGAACUUUUCUGUUUCAGAACUCAUCUCAUGUGUAAUUACAUAACUCUGUCGCAGUAUUUGACUCUUCUGUUUUAGAACUCAUCUCAUGUGUAAUUACAUAACUCUGUCGCAGUAUUUGAACUUUUCUGUUUUAGAACUCAUCUCAUGUGUAAUUACAUAACUCUGCCGCAGUAUUUGAACUUUUCUGUUUCAGAACUCAUCUCAUGUGUAAUUACAUAACUCUGUCGCAGUAUUUGAACUUUUCUGUUUCAGAACUCAUCUCAUGUGUAAUUACAUAACUCUGCCGCAGUAUUUGAACUUUUCUGUUUCAGAACUCAUCUCAUGUGUAAUUACAUAACUCUGUCGCAGUAUUUGACUCUUCUGUUUUAGAACUCAUCUCAUGUGUAAUUACAUAACUCUGUCGCAGUAUUUGAACUUUUCUGUUUUAGAACUCAUCUCAUGUGUAAUUACAUAACUCUGCCGCAGUAUUUGAACUUUUCUGUUUCAGAACUCAUCUCAUGUGUAAUUACAUAACUCUGUCGCAGUAUUUGAACUUUUCUGUUUCAGAACUCAUCUCAUGUGUAAUUACAUAACUCUGCCGCAGUAUUUGAACUUUUCUGUUUCAGAACUCAUCUCAUGUGUAAUUACAUAACUCUGUCGCAGUAUUUGAACUUUUCUGUUUUAGAACUCAUCUCAUGUGUAAUUACAUAACUCUGCCGCAGUAUUUGAACUUUUCUGUUUCAGAACUCAUCUCAUGUGUAAUUACAUAACUCUGUCGCAGUAUUUGAACUCUUCUGUUUUAGAACUCAUCUCAUGUGUAAUUACAUAACUCUGUCGCAGUAUUUGAACUUUUCUGUUUUAGAACUCAUCUCAUGUGUAAUUACAUAACUCUGCCGCAGUAUUUGAACUUUUCUGUUUCAGAACUCAUCUCAUGUGUAAUUACAUAACUCUGUCGCAGUAUUUGAACUUUUCUGUUUCAGAACUCAUCUCAUGUGUAAUUACAUAACUCUGUCGCAGUAUUUGAACUUUUCUGUUUUAGAACUCAUCUCAUGUGUAAUUACAUAACUCUGUCGCAGUAUUUGACUCUUCUGUUUUAGAACUCAUCUCAUGUGUAAUUACAUAACUCUGUCGCAGUAUUUGAACUUUUCUGUUUUAGAACUCAUCUCAUGUGUAAUUACAUAACUCUGUUGCAGUAUUUGAACUUUUCUGUUUUAGAACUCAUCUCAUGUGUAAUUACAUAACUCUGUCGCAGUAUUUGAACUUUUCUGUUUUAAAACUCAUCUCAUGUGUAAUUACAUAACUCUGUCGCAGUAUUUGAACUUUUCUGUUUCAGAACUCAUCUCAUGUGUAAUUACAUAACUCUGUUGCAGUAUUUGAACUUUUCUGUUUUAAAACGUCAUGUUUUUGUCUGGAAAGGGGAGGCGUGGUAGUGGGACCAAGAUAUGGCUGCCUGGUCGUGAGGUUUGCGCGCUGGACUGUCGUUCGGAUUUAUCGAUGGUCGAGGGUUCAAAUCCUGCCCGCUCCCAUCCCCCGUCGUCCUGCGGGAGGUUUGGACUAGGAAGUAAACCGUCUUCAACUCUGAAGGAACAUUCGAAACAUGUAAAACAAACAAACAUUUUUUGAUAAAAGAUUAAUCCUCGCUCCUUUUUUAUAAUAUCUGGUAAUGAUUGCAUUCGGCAUUAAAGACUAGGGGUGGGGCGACUUGAUUAAAGGUUGAGAACCGUACUGUACUAGAGCUAGCAGCUCAAUUUUUCGACCAAUCAAAGCACUUGAAAUACUGAAUAUAGAGCUGCGGAUUUCCGCUUGUUAUCACUAUGCAUUACCAGUGAUUCAACGCGUCAGCAAGUGAGAAUAAGGGUGUUUUCCAUUCUAUGCUUUGUUUCUCAAAGCUGUGUUCUCAUAGCUGUGUUCUCAUAGCUGUGUUCAGUUUAAGGGAGAAUAAAUACAAGCCUUGUAAAGUAAGAAUUUUUAUUGUUGAUUGUUGACACUAUUCAAACAUGAACAACUUUGGCGGUAACUAGUAUUUUUUGUCUCAGCUGUCUCUUAUUAGUUGACCAAGGCGGACGUUGCUUUUUUUUUUUUUAAAUUAUUUUCUUGUUACGAUAUCGUCUAAAACACAGACACAGGCGCAGAAGACGGAAAGAAAACUUAAGGGGACCGCUUGGGGACAACGGCUUUGUCAGAGACCAAUGACGAUUGUUUUCGCGUUGUCUGCACGAGAUGUGGAAAAAUAUGCAGGUCGCAACUGGGUUUGCGAAGACAUAGCCAUGAUUAUUAUUAUCCUCUAAAGUCUAAAUUAAAAAGGUCUUAGAUCUAUAAUCCACAUGUGCUGGAUCAAGCAAGCUCUUGAUAUGAAUUCACAUAGUGAGAAAUGAAAGAAACAAAAGUCUAUAGAUAAGAGUUUAAUGUUUUGUUUAAUGUAAUGUAAGACAAAUGUCCUUAUGGAUAAUAAAUAUUAUUAUUAUGUUAGAAAUAAACGAGUAGUCAUUUCUCUGACUUUGCCAGGGUCAAGUUUCGUUAAAGGGAAACAAAAUUCAUUGGUAGUCCCUUUAUCAGUGUCCGCUGAGGGGAAUUUUGUGGUGGUGUGGCAGGUCUGCAGCAGUACCGCCCUCUGACAGGCAACGAGAAUCUUCUUAGUAAUGUGAAUGGGCCUUGAAGGGUUAGAUGAACAAAAGUCUUGUAAUACCGCUUCUAACUGGAUUGUUGGUUGUACAUUCAAUCGAAGCAACUCAGAAGGGAGGCAAUAAAGAUGUUCCUCCAACUUGGUAUAAUUAUAACAUACAACUACAUCGAGUCGCUAGCUUUCGACCUUGGCCUAGCCUUUACCAUGUCUCACCAGUACUACUAGCAAACCUUGGUUACUUUUACAUUGACGAUGGUUCUGGAGUUAUAGAUGACGAGUCAGUAAUGUGUCAUGCUUGCUACACGACCCUCCCAGGGCUAUCAACUGUUGAUGAUAUAUCCCAAGUCCAGUGGUCACAUUCAAGCGAUUGUCCAUAUAGUCAUGACUUAAGAUUGGCGAUGGACUCAAGACCGAUUCAGCAAAGAGAGGCAAGGGCUACCGUUAUCAGACAAGAAACGGACUCAGUUCAAAACAUGACAAUUCAAAAUGCACCUCUCAUAUUAUCAAACAUUCCAGUUAACACAUUGCCAACUUCAUUUUUAAAUAGACAAGAUGAUGAUUUAAUUCCCCAAGCUUCAGGCCAUCGUGACACUACGCCAACUUUCGACAAUCAAGCGCAAGCCAGCUCUCCACAGCGGCAGCAUUUACACCUAGAUCUACAAGGCAGGGGAUAUGUAGAUAGGAUUUUUAGAAUUCAUAUUAGACUGAAUGAUCGGGUUCACCAAGAGGAAGGUCCGUGUGGCCCAGAUCGGCUGUACAUUACCAAUACGAACUAAGAGCUCUUACAGUUACAGCCCAAUAAAAGUCGACGAAAUCUGAAAGCAAACCUUUAAGCAGAUUGUUUCAAACACCGUUUGAAGUUAAUGAAAGCAAAGACAAAAGGGAAAAAUGAUGAAUUGGUAAAAUGAAAUCAAACAUUCAAAACAUUAGCCUCUUCCUGAAAGAGGGACAUUGACCAAGAAAGAUUAACAGAAUUAUCUGGCUAACAGCAUUCUGACAGAGUUCCUCUGGGUCAAGACAUACUAUGACAAACAGCUAAUAAAAAGGUAUAGGUGCUUUGACCUGAUGCGAAAUAACAAAAAAAUACUGACUCGGGCUAAACAUGCUCAUACCCAGAGUGCAAUCAAGUUGGCAAGGUAAAGAGAAGUCAAUAGCACUAUUCGUGUGCAUAGAUUAGAUUGUGCAUACCUCUAGAUCUCCGGAUCAACUACGCAAAACUGUUUAUGAAGAGGCUAAUUGAGCUUUUUCAAGAAUCUGUACAUCGUAUGGCUUAAAUAGUGAGCCUGGCGGUAUAGCUCUUAUUAACAGGUGAAAGGACGAAGGCGGAUACCGGGCGACUCAAAACCGGGAGUUUCGGGUAGAUGGAGCUCGUCAGCCUGGUAAGGCCAUUCAUCUAGGACAGAGAGACAGACAGACCUCAAACCCUGGCUGCCUUGUGUACCAUGGCUUUAGGAGAUAAUCUCGAGGGAAAACAGGAUUGAGGCCCUCAGGCGCUAGUUGUAUCAACUAUGAACCCCCCCCCCCCACUGGCAGCUUCAGCUACUGAGUUGGUGCCAAAUGUAAAGCCAAGUGUUCCUUUUGGAUCUCAUCAGCAAGGUCACAGCCCAGGAAGCCUCCCGGGUUACACGUAUGGGUACCUCUGCAGCGUCUGCAACUUUUAUUAACUAUUUUGUUACAUUUUCAUUAAUUUUUUCAGGUGAACAAUAAUUUGCAUAAAAACUUUGGAUCACACCAGCAAACUCGAGAGAGACGAUUUGGCCACCUAUGUCCCUUAAUACAAAGUCCAUGAACGCUUUUCGGGAAACAAUCUAUAGUUAUAAUUCUCUUCUUCGCUCAAGAGGUUGGACGAGAAGAAGACGUAAAGGAACGAUCACUCUUUUAUUUCUGCGGAUAGAGUUAUCCCACGAACUUUACGAGCCUUGCGUGUAGCAAAGUCAUACAGUGUAUCAUGAAAAUUUUAUUUCCUACAUAGAUCACGCUCAAUAGCAACAAUUAACAAAUAUUUCAAUUUAUCUACGAGAAUUGUUGCACUAAAAUAAUUCUUCAUUAGUUUGAGGCGCGAGAAGCUUCUUUCACCAGAUUACACAAUUACGGCUAAUGCAUAAUGCCGUUUUUAUUAAUCGCCCGUAGGAUUGGCUUUAGCCGCUUUUUCCAUAUUGAAUGACACCCCAAAAUGACAAUUUUUGUCUACAUAUUUCAUGAGAUUUGUAUGAGUUCUCAAAAGAUUUUUAAACGCGGCGCAUGCUACGCCGCCGGUCGACUAGCAUUAUAUAUUGCAUGAAAUCGGCCGCUGCAUUUCUAGAUUAUUUUUGUUACAUUUUCAUUACAUUUUUGAAGUGUGCCAUAGUUCGCUCAAAGACUUAAGGUCAUGAUAUAUGUAAAUAUUGAAUAAUACUGUACUAUACUGAAGUUUUAUAUAAUUUUAUAUUACAUUGUUUCAUAUUGUUAUAAUCUCUAAGUGACCAGCAUUGUUAUCCUAUAAACUAGCUAUAUAUAUUAUGAAUAUUAUGAAUUAUGGCGCUGAUGGAAUGAUAUUUUCUUCUCAUCCCGUUGAAAUGUGUAGUAUUAUUUAAUAUAUAGCUGUUCUAAUAAAAAAAUGUGUUAUUCUAUCUUGAAGUGAAUGAGUUUUAAAGCUGUUUACAGGGCGACAACUUAGAAAAUUAUUAAUGUUAAGCCAAAAGCGAGUUAUCUUCCAUAAAUACAUUUUUUGUGACUCUUCUCUACCACCAAUAUGUUAGGUGCGCCCCAGCGCGAGCACGCUACUCUGCCUCAUUGUGGCGCUCGUGUGGAAACGACCAUUAGAGAAAGUGGUUAGGCUAAAUGGGUAGCAACACAAGACUCCCGUGGGGAUGCCCACGGGUAGACGAGAGUCAGCCUCUUGCACGGGUGGGGUUGUAAAAAAGUCCCCACAAACCUGUCACACAUCCAUGCGCUGUUCCUCAAAGGGACCGUUACAUAAAUUGCGGGUCCCGCACAGUUAGCUUGGUACAAUGAAGAAAAAUGGCAGAAGAUCCCGGUGUAUUCUCGGCCUUCGGCCGUGUCUAGCCCACGCGUUGGGGGCCAAAUGCAUCGGUCAACAGCAAUGCUUUACAUGGGCAUUGUCUAGGGUCUCUCCCAAACAGAUUGUGUUCACACAGGUUUUUUUUUUUUUUUACUGUUUGGCGUCCAAACAGGUUGUUUUUUUUCAAACUUAGGUCUCGAAGAGCCUUCGGCUCAGCCCUUAGACAUCAACAAGGUGCGCCCCAGCAUACUGUUAGGAACCGAACCCAUGCACACUUGUUUUGAUAGCGUGAUAGCAGCUUCCAACUUUGGUUUUCUGUCGAAACGGAGAUCCGCAAGUCUGAGGCAGUCAAACAGAAUAUGAGGCACGGUUUCCUCCUCUUCCCAGCAGCGGGGGCACCGUGAAUCGAAAUUUGGCCAUAGCUGUGAGAAAUAUGAGCCAACAGGACAGUGGCCUGUCCUGCACUGUGCUAUAAUAGCUUGCUCAGGCCUGGACAGCCUCCACCACGGGGAAAUGCGGUCAGGGCGCCUCAUGCGCUCCCAGACUCCACGGGCUUUUUGGGACUUGUCCCUACACUCAAACCCCUUUUCCAUGUCUGUUUUUUUUUAAAUUUUAGCCAGAGCAUGAUGAAGACUCGCAACCUUUGCUAUGGGUGGUAUUUGUCCUCCCUUGGUGGGCCAAGGAGUCUGCAAUAGUGUUGCCAGUCACACCAAUGUGACUCGGUACACACAGCAUUAUUACAGGGGCGUUGCUACAUGUUGUAAGAGGCCUAGAUGACAGUGUUAGGAUUGAUACUUGAACAUAAACAAACGUGAAAUGACAUAUAGGACAACACUUUCAGAAUGUAACGAACAGCUUAUAAUCAGCCAUCUUGGCUACCAGAGUAGUGUCCCCUAUACAUGGGCAAAAGUCAUCCCACCAUAUAGAGUUCCAUCAACAGACAAUGUGUGUCGAUAUUGGGGGAGGGGGUCGGGGGUCCAUCAUCCUCUUUGAUCCUCUUUCGCUGAAAUGCAUACCAUACAUUUAGACCUGCAUCCAUAUUCUGUUAGCAUUAUUUCGAAGCUAGUUUAUUAUUGUAUACGUUUUUCUAUUUAAAGAGUUAAGACUUUUGUGCCAGUGGAAUUGUUAAGGCCA